rnacentral:rRNA from 1 species
UACAGAGGUCUCAAGCGCUGUUCGGAUUCAUUGGGCGUAAAGGGUGUGUAGGUGGCGCGCUAAGUCGGGUGUGAAAUUUCGGAGCUUAACUCCGAAACUGCAUUCGAUACUGGCGUGCUUGAGGACUGGAGAGGAGACUGGAAUUCAUGGUGUAGCAGUGAAAUGCGUAGAGAUCAUGAGGAAGACCAGUGGCGAAGGCGGGUCUCUGGACAGUUCCUGACACUGAGACACGAAGGCCAGGGGAGCAAACGGG